CUCCCUAACCAAGUUCACCGUCUCUGACCACAUAGCAUCCGCUUCCCCAGAACUUCUCCAAGCUCCGCCCUCAGCUAACCUCCUUUCCAACUCCUGUGCUUUCUCCUUAUUCAAAACACCCCAUCUAAUCCGCGGUUGUCCCCGAACACCCCUCCUCUUCCUCUUCACACAGAGACCGACAUCCAUCACUAGGAGUCUAUGAAGAGUCGAAAGGGACUCUCCCAGAAUAACC
rnacentral:lncRNA from 1 species